CACAGAGAAGAUUAACAUGGUCUCAGUGCAAAGAUGACACACAAAUUCAUGAAACGUUCCAUAUUUUU
rnacentral:snRNA from 1 species